rnacentral:rRNA from 1 species
UACGGGGGGGGCAAGCGUUGCUCGGAAUUACUGGGCGUAAAGGGCUCGUAGGUGGCCAAUUAAGUCAGACGUGAAAUCCCUCGGCUUAACCGGGGAACUGCGUCUGAUACUGGAUGGCUUGAGAUUGGGAGAGGGAUGCGGAAUUCCAGGUGUAGCGGUGAAAUGCGUAGAUAUCUGGAGGAACACCGGUGGCGAAGGCGGCAUCCUGGACCAACACUGACACUGAGGAGCGAAAGCCAGGAGAGCAAACGGG